UGCAGUCGACGGUAACAGCUCUUCGGAGGCUGACGAGUGGCGAACGGGUGAGUAAUACAUCGGAACGUGCCCGAUCGUGGGGGAUAACGGAGCGAAAGCUUUGCUAAUACCGCAUACGAUCUACGGAUGAAAGCAGGGGACCCUCGGGCCUUGCGCGAACGGAGCGGCCGAUGGCAGAUUAGGUAGUUGGUGGGAUAAAAGCUUACCAAGCCGACGAUCUGUAGCUGGUCUGAGAGGACGACCAGCCACACUGGGACUGAGACACGGCCCAGACUCCUACGGGAGGCAGCAGUGGGGAAUUUUGGACAAUGGGCGAAAGCCUGAUCCAGCAAUGCCGCGUGCAGGAUGAAGGCCUUCGGGUUGUAAACUGCUUUUGUACGGAACGAAAAGUCUCGGGAUAAUACCCUGGGACCAUGACGGUACCGUAAGAAUAAGCACCGGCUAACUACGUGCCAGC
rnacentral:rRNA from 1 species